rnacentral:rRNA from 1 species
UGAAUACGAGAUGCUACGGCGUCGAAGCAGUCUAUGUCAUACUUCCAAGAAAAGCUUGCACUGUCAUAAACAAAUAAUGCCUGUACCAUAACCGACACAGGUGGGUAGGUAGAGUAUACUAAGGGGCGCGAGAUAACUCUCUCUAAGGAACUCGGCAAAAUGACUCCGUAACUUCGGGAGAAGGAGUGCCUUAUUUAUAAGGUUGCAAUAACAAGAUCCAAGCAACUGUUUACCAAAAACACAGGUCUCCGCUAAGUCGUAAGACGAUGUAUGGGGGCUGACGCCUGCCCAGUGCCAGAAGGUUAAAGAAGUUGGUUAGCAUCCGCGAAGCUGAUAACUGAAGCCCUGGUGAACGGCGGCCGUAACAAUAACGGUCCUAAGGUAGCGAAAUUCCUUGUCGGGUAAGUUCCGACCCGCACGAAAGGCGUAAUGAUUUGGAUACUGUCUCGGAGAGGGGCUCGGUGAAAUAGACUUGUCUGUGAAGAUGCGGACUACCUGCACCAGGACAGAAAGACCCUAUGAAGCUUUACUGUAACCUGAAAUUGAAAUUGGACUUUACUUGCGCAGUAUAGGUGGGAGGCGUUGAGAAUAUUCUUGCGGGAUUAUUGGAGCCAUCAGUGAGAUACCACUCUUGUAAUGUUAGAUUUCUAACUUUGUAUCAUUAUCUGGUCAAAGAACAGUUUCAGGCGGGCAGUUUGACUGGGGCGGUCGCCUCCUAAACGGUAACGGAGGCGCACAAAGGUUUCCUCUGAACGGGUAGAAAUCGUAUCUAGAGUGUAAAGGCAUAAGGAAGCUUGACUGUGAGACCUACAAGUCGAGCAGGGACGAAAGUCGGUCUUAGUGAUCUGACGGUGCUGAGUGGAAAGGCCGUCACUCAACGGAUAAAAGUUACUCUAGGAUAACAGGCUGAUCUCCCCCAAGAGUUCACAUCGACGGGGAGGUUUGGCACCUCGAUGUCGGCUCAUCGCAUCCUGGGGCGGUAGUACGUCCCAAGGGUUGGGCUGUUCGCCCAUGAAAGCGGUACGCGAGCUGGGUUCAGAACGUUGUGAGACAGUUCGGUCCAUAUCCGGUGUAGGCGUUAGAAUAUUGAGAGGAGCCUUCUUUAGUACGAGAGGACCGAGAAGGACAUACCUCUGGAGUACCAGUUAUCGUGCCAACGGUAAACGCUGGGUAGCUAUGUGUGGAGUGGAUAACCGCUGAAAGCAUCUAAGUGGGAAGCCCACCUCAAGAUAAGUA